UUCAGUGUUGUGUUGGUUUUUGUAUUGGUGCGCGACGGGGUCCUCGUACCCACUUUAUUUUACUGUUACAUUUAGUGUUUGAAGUAUGUUUAGUUUAUUCGUUAUUAAAUACUCCAUUUCAGUCUGUUUGAUUCUCCUGCGACUGACUUUUGAUGUCUUUUGAAUCAAGGGAAUUUCAACAAAAAAGUUCACUGCAGUAAUACACUUCUCCAAGGAACAUGUGUGGCUCCAAGGAACAUGGUGUGGCUCCAAGGAACAUGUGUGGCUCCAAGGAACAUGUGUGGCUCCAAGGAACAUGUGUGGCUCCAAGGAACAUGGUGUGGCUCCAAGGAAGAAGAGGUGUGUUGGUUGUUUGCCAGCAAAUGGGUCCUACAAGAACAUUCAGGGCUGACUGCACACAGAGCUGGGGAUCUCUGCCUGUCCGUCCGGCCACUGCAUAUCCUCGAUCUGGAACACAGGAUGGAUGCGGAUUCGACAGGAGUAGAACAAUGAAAAUUACUUUUUUUUAAGAACAAGUCUUUUAUACUUGAUUUUAUCCAGUCGGAUUUGAGAUUACAUAACCCCACCAUGCCGUGUAACAUUUAUGUUUUACUGACACAUUUUUAAGACAAAAAUAAACAAUCCAAUAUCCUGCACUAGGAAGUAGCAGGCACAGCAAGAAGCCCUGGAGUGACUGCUGUGAUUUCACAGUGCAGUGGACCCACAAUGCAGUGGACCCUUAAUC